AUCAAUGCUGGCGGCGUGCCUAACACAUGCAAGUCGAGCGGCAGCGCGAGUAGUUUACUACUUGGCGGCGAGCGGCGGACGGCUAAGUAACGCGUGGGAACGUACCCCAAAGUGAGGAAUAACUGCCCGAAAGGGUGGCUAAUGCCGCAUAUGGUCUUCGGAUUAAAGGAUUUAUCCGCUUUGGGAACGGCCUGCGUACGAUUAGAUAGUUGGUGGGGUAAAGGCCUACCAAGUCUACGAUCGUUAACUGGUCUGAGAGGAUGAUCAGUCAGACUGGAACUGAGAUACGGUCCAGACUCAUACGGGAGGCAGCAGUGAGGAAUCUUCCACAAUGGACGAAAGUCUGAUGGAGCAACGCCGCGUGCAGGAUGAAGGCCUUCGGGUCGUAAACUGCUUUUAUAAGUGAAGAAUAUGACGGUAGCUUAUGAAUAAGCACCGGCUAACUACGU
rnacentral:rRNA from 1 species